rnacentral:rRNA from 1 species
UACGAAGGGGGCUAGCGUUGUUCGGAAUUACUGGGCGUAAAGCGCGCGUAGGCGGUGAUCUUUGUCAGAGGUGAAAUCCCGAGGCUCAACUUCGGAAUUGCCUUUGAAACGGGAUCGCUUGAGUCCGAGAGAGGAUGGCGGAAUUCCUAGUGUAGAGGUGAAAUUCGUAGAUAUUAGGAAGAACACCGGUGCGAAGGCGGCCAUCUGGCUCGGUACUGACGCUCAGGCGCGAAAGCGUGGGGAGCAAACA